AUGUCCAAGUAAUUAUAUUCUCUCACAAUCUGGGUCUUAAAAAAUCAACACAAAAAUUGCACCUUUACCAAUACCGAACCAAACUAGUGGAUCAACCACACGCCGCCUUGCAAAACCAAACCAACCUAGGAUCGAAAAACCUAGAAAAAAGCAUCAAACCCAGAGAUGCACACAAAGUAUUUUGAAAAACAUCCAUUUCCACAAUGUCUUCAGAUUCGCCACUAGAGUCAGCAAUUCUUCAAAUUUGAGAUCCUUAAAACUCACAGAUCUAAAAUCAUCCACCUCGCGCUACUACUGUCGUGAUGGGUUAGUCGCAUUUGAGUCGCCCUACCACCGCCAUAGAUGGGUCGUUGACCUCACCACUUAUGGUCUUCUGUGAUGUUGUGAGAUCUCAC
rnacentral:lncRNA from 1 species